rnacentral:rRNA from 1 species
AGGAUGAACGCUAGCGGCAGGCUUAAUACAUGCAAGUCGAGGGGCAGCACGGGUAGUAAUACCUGGUGGCGACCGGCAAACGGGUGCGGAACACGUACGCAACCUUCCCAUAACUGGUGAAUAGCCCUCCGAAAGGAGGAUUAAUACACCGUAACAUAAUGAAGUGGCAUCACUUUAUUAUUAUAGACUUCGGUCGGUUUUGGAUGGGCGUGCGCCUGAUUAGGUGGUUGGCGGGGUAACGGCCCACCAAGCCUGCGAUCAGUAACUGGUGUGAGAGCACGACCAGUCACACGGGCACUGGGACACGGGCCCGACUCCUACGGGAGGCAGCAGUAAGGAAUUUUCGGCAAUGGACGAAAGUCUGACCGAGCGACGCCGCGUGGAGGAUGACGCCUUUCGGGGUGUAAACUCCUUUUCUGCGGGAAGAUAAUGACGGUACCGCAGGAAUAAGCACCGGCUAACUACGUGCCAGCAGCCGC